rnacentral:rRNA from 1 species
CCCUUAGAUGUUCUGGGCCGCACGCGCGCUACACUGAUGCAUUCAACAAGCCUAGCCUUGACCGAGAGGUCCGGGUAAUCUUUGAAACUGCAUCGUGAUGGGGCUAGAUUAUUGCAAUUAUUAAUCUUCAACGAGGAAUGCCUAGUAAGCGUGAUUCAUCAAAUCGCGUUGAUUACGUCCCUGCCCUUUGUACACACCGCCCGUCGCUGCCCGGGACUGAGCCGUUUCGAGAAAAGCGGGGACUGCUGCUGUCGGGGCUUUCGGGCCUUGGCUUCGGUGGAAACCGCUUUAAUCGCAGUGGCUUGAACCGGGCAAAANUCGUANCA